ensembl:snRNA U6 U6 spliceosomal RNA
CUCCUCACUUUGGCAGCACAUGUAGUAAAACGGAAAUGAUACAGAGAGGAUUAGCAUAGCCCUUGCACAAGAAUGAUGGGCAAAUUUGUGAAAUGUUUCAUGUUUUU